rnacentral:lncRNA from 1 species
UUGUUUUCUUUGUUGUUGUUGAUUGAUUCGGAGUCAUGCUUUUUUGUUGUUAUUGUUUGAGUUUGUGCUUUGAGUUUUCUUAAAUGUUAUUUAGUUGUUGUGAAUAUUUGAGUCGGUAUAAUUGAUUCGGAGUCAUGCUUUUUUGUUGUUAUUGUUUGAGUUUGUGCUUUGAGUUUUCUUAAAUGUUAUUUAGUUGUUGUGAAUAUUUGAGUCGGUAUUAUCGAAUGAGCAAGAUGAACGGGGUAAGAUUUCAUUGUUCCUAUCUUCUUUGUUUUGUUUAUGAGCAUGGUGAUUGAGAGAGGAAGAUUGGGUCAUGUGAGAUAGAGUAAUAUUGAGAGAAAUAGCCAUGAGAAAGAGCAUAUCUCUUUUAUCAUUUUUCCUGUUACUGUUACUGAACAUGAAUGAAUGUGAAAAUUGUUAGUUCUUUUUUUUUUUUAUUUCCAACGCCAUGUGUUACUACACCACUGGCUACUUUUUAAAAUAAUAAUAAUAAUAAUAAUAGAACAUGAUGGUUUGUUUUAAG